rnacentral:rRNA from 1 species
UACGGGGGGGAGCAAGCGUUGUUCGGAUUUACUGGCGUAAAGGGCGCGUAGGCGGUCAGCACAAGUCAGUUGUGAAAUCUCCGGGCUUAACUCGGAAAGGUCAACUGAUACUGUGCGACUAGAGUGCAGAAGGGGCAACUGGAAUUCUCGGUGUAGCGGUGAAAUGCGUAGAUAUCGAGAGGAACACCUGCGGCGAAGGCGGGUUGCUGGGCCGACACUGACGCUGAUGCGCGAAAGCCAGGGGAGCGAACGGG